rnacentral:rRNA from 1 species
UACGUAGGGUGCAAGCGUUGUCCGGAAUUAUUGGGCGUAAAGAGCUCGUAGGCGGUCUGUCGCGUCUGGUGUGAAAACCCAGGGCUUAACCCUGGGCCUGCAUCCGAUACGGGCAGACUAGAGUGCGGCAGGGGAGAGUGGAAUUCCUGGUGUAGCGGUGAAAUGCGCAGAUAUCGGGAGGAACACCGGUGGCGAAGGCGGCUCUCUGGGCCGUAACUGACGCUGAGGCGCGAAAGCAUGGGGAGCGAACGGG